AUUGAACGCUGGCGGCAUGCUUUACACAUGCAAGUCGAACGGUAACAGGUUAAGCUGACGAGUGGCGAACGGGUGAGUAAUGCAUCGGAACGUGCCCGGUCGUGGGGGAUAACGCAGCGAAAGCUGCGCUAAUACCGCAUACGAUCUGAGGAUGAAAGCGGGGGACCGUAAGGCCUCGCGCGAUCGGAGCGGCCGAUGUCAGAUUAGGUAGUUGGUGAGGUAAAGGCUCACCAAGCCAACGAUCUGUAGCUGGUCUGAGAGGACGACCAGCCACACUGGGACUGAGAAACGGCCCAGACUCCGACGGGAGGCAGCAGUGGGGAAUUUUGGACAAUGGGCGAAAGCCUGAUCCAGCAAUGCCGCGUGCAGGAAGAAGGCCUUCGGGUUGUAAACUGCUUUUGUACGGAGCGAAAAGGCUCUCUCUAAUACAGGGGGCUCAUGACGGUACCAUAAGAAUAAGCACCGGCUAACUACGUGCCAGCAGCAGCCGCCG
rnacentral:rRNA from 1 species